GCUCUUUCUUGAUCUUGCGAAUGGUGGUGCAUGGCCGUUCUUAGUUCGUGGAACAUUUUGUCUGGUCGAUUCUGAUAACGGACGAGACUCGAACGAUGCAUGUCUGAAAAGCGGUCGCUUGCCUUUUGCUUGAAUGCUUGGCAACCGAGGCGAACCGAAAAACUUAUCAACUUGACGGACCGGCGGCGUUGAUGUGUAAGCCGCACGAGAUCGAGCGAUAACAGGUCUGUGAUGCCCUUAAAUGAAAAGAGACGGCUCCGCUAGACGGGAGCGUCCUUCGGGGCCUCCCGGUCUUACUGGUAGACCGUUCCCCGGGUCGACGGGCCCGGGAGAUCGGCUGGAAUCUCGAUCGUGAUCGGGACAGAGUCUUGUAAUUGUUACUCUCAAACGAGGAAUUCCUAGUAGGCGCGAGUCAUGACCUCGCGUCGACUGCGUCCCUGCCCUUU
rnacentral:rRNA from 1 species